CUAAGUACGGACGGGAUAACCGCUGAAAGCAUCUAAGCGGGAAGCCCCCCUCAAGAUGAGAUCUCCCUGGGACCUCGAGUCCCCUAAAGGGCCCUUGAAGACUACAAGGUUGAUAGGCUGGGUGUGGAAGUACGGUAACGUAUGAAGCUAACCAGUACUAAUUGCCCGUGAGGCUUGACCAU
rnacentral:ncRNA from 1 species